rnacentral:rRNA from 1 species
AUCCUGGCUCAGGAUGAACGCUGGCGGCGUGCCUAAUACAUGCAAGUCGAACGCACAGCGAAAGGUGCUUGCACCUUUCAAGUGAGUGGCGAACGGGUGAGUAACACGUGGAUAACCUACCUCAAGGUUGGGGAUAACAUUUGGAAACAGAUGCUAAUACCGAAUAAAACUUAGUAUCGCAUGAUACCAGGUUAAAAGGCGCUACGGCGUCACCUAGAGAUGGAUCCGCGGUGCAUUAGUUAGUUGGUGGGUAAAGGCUUACCAAGACAAUGAUGCAUAGCCGAGUUGAGAGACUGAUCGGCCACAUUGGGACUGAGACACGGCCCAAACUCCUACGGGAGGCUGCAGUAGGGAAUCUUCCACAAUGGGCGAAAGCCUGAUGGAGCAACGCCGCGUGUGUGAUGAAGGCUUUCGGGUCGUAAAGCACUGUUGUAUGGGAAGAACAGCUAGAGUAGGGAAUGACUUUAGUUUGACGGUACCAUACCAGAAAGGGACGGCUAAAUACGUG